AACGAACGCUGGCGGCAUGCCUAACACAUGCAAGUCGAACGAGACCUUCGGGUCUAGUGGCGCACGGGUGCGUAACGCGUGGGGACCUGCCCUUAGGUUCGGAAUAACUCCCCGAAAGGGGUGCUAAUACCGGAUAAUGUCUUCGGACCAAAGAUUUAUCGCCUUUGGAUGGGCCCGCGUUGGAUUAGCUAGUUGGUAGGGUAAAAGCCUACCAAGGCGACGAUCCAUAGCUGGUCUGAGAGGAUGAUCAGCCACACUGGGACUGAGACACGGCCCAGACUCCUACGGGAGGCAGCAGUGGGGAAUAUUGGACAAUGGGCGAAAGCCUGAUCCAACAAUGCCGCGUGAGUGAUGAAGGCCUUAGGGUUGUAAAGCUCUUUUACCCGGGAUGAUAAUGACAGUACCGGGAGAAUAAGCUCCGGCUAACUCCGUG
rnacentral:rRNA from 1 species